UCGUGUACAUUUCUUCGUUUCUUCUUUGCUGUUUUCAGUGAGUGUUUUGUUUUCUCUUUGUCCUUGAUCUCGACGGUGUUGUCGUGCUCAUUACCUUACUGAGACGUCUCUUGUGACUGAAGCCAGUGUCACGGAGGAUUUUAUUGGCGUGACGAGGUAGAUCGCCGAGAUCGAGCGUGAAAAACGCUCUGCAUUAGUAGCUCCUGUAGAAUGUCUUCUGGGAUGGCGUAUCCAUGGUCAACAAAGCCAAGGUGCAAGACAGCAUAAGAGGUCGUGUAAACGAUGUGAACUCCAAAAGAUAAUCUGGACAAAUAAAUUAUAUUGUAACUGGAGAGUGCAAUCGUGCUUGGGACCCAUCCCAAUGUCAUCACAUGGCUGUGGUGACUAGUCUAUACCUGGGAGAGUUUUUCCUCAACUGAGAUGGAGUGUAGGUGGAUGGAUUAUGAGAAAUGCGAAGAUGUGGAGUUCAAGGCUAGAUGCACUUCACAUUCGGCGUGCGAUCUCGGCGUCUGGGACCUGAUAACGUCUUGGUUGGAUGGGUAAUCAAGGAUGAUACUACUCGGCACACCAAUGUACAUGUCAAUGUAUUUUUUACUUUUUCAGAGCUGCACUAUUUACGGACGAUUGUGUCUGUUAGAGAGGAAAUAAAUUAAUAGUAUUCACAAACAAGUCCCACUUAUUGUUUCUGUUCGUAAAAGGAAAUUGCAAUUUUUGGGUCAUAUUGUUCGUUCCGGCUGUUUGUCAUUGACUGUUCUUCAGUGUUGUGUUGCUGGAGGCCGUGGCCGAGGCAGGCCCAGAAUGUCAUGGCUUGAUAAUA